UAGGGAAUCUUCCGCAAUGGGCGAAAGCCUGACGGAGCAACGCCGCGUGAGUGAUGAAGGUCUUCGGAUCGUAAAACUCUGUUAUUAGGGAAGAACAAAUGUGUAAGUAACUAUGCACGUCUUGACGGUACCUAAUCAGAACGCCACGGCUAACUACGUGCCAGCAGCCGCGGUAAUACGUAGGUGGCAAGCGUUAUCCGGAAUUAUUGGGCGUAAAGCGCGCGUAGGCGGUUUUUUAAGUCUGAUGUGAAAGCCCACGGCUCAACCGUGGAGGGUCAUUGGAAACUGAAACACUUGAGUGCAGAAGGGGAAAGUGGAAUUCCAUGUGUAGCGGUGAAAUGCGCAGAGAUAUGGAGGAACACCAGUGGCGAAGGCGGCUUUCUGGUCUGUAUCUGACGCUGAUGUGCGAAAGCGUGGGGAUCAAACAGG
rnacentral:rRNA from 1 species